AUGCGGUUAGUCUACAUAGGAUGCCUGAGCUACAACUUCAGCUAGAAAAACAUUCAGCUCUUUUUCAGUGGCUACGGCUGUCUCUUCGACACAGCCGUUUAGGAGCUGAACAGUAAGAGAGUGGCAUGAUCAUAGAGCAUGCUUAUGACCUGCGCCAAGAUUGAGAUGACAACCACUACAGAAGCUGCAGUGGUGGAGGUGGAUACAGUAGUCGGAGAACUUCUGGCAAAGACAAAUAUGGACCAACUGUUUGUACAGAAUACAGGCUUAUUGUAGAAAAUCUGUCUAGUCUUUGCAGUUGGCAAGACUUAAAGAAUUUCAUGCGGCAAGCAGAAGUGACUUAUGCAGAUGCUCACACAGAACAAACAACUGAGGUUGUAAUUGAAGUUAGAUCCUUCUCUGACAUGAAGCGUGCUUUGGAUAAACUGGAUGGCACAGAAAUAAGUGGCAGAAAUACUAGGCUUAUUGAAGAUAAGCCAGGGACAAGCCAUAGGCACUCAUACUCUGGAAGUAGACUCAGAUCACGGUGUAGAAGAUCUCAGAGUAGGAGUCGCAGAAGCAGCUGCAGUAGAUCUCGAAAUAUCUCAAAAAGUCCCUCCCGACCUAGGUCUUGGAGCAAAGGUCAAUCCCAAACUUGCUCAAAAGGCAGGAAAUCCAGAUCAAAGAGCAAAUCUAAGCCCAAGUCUGAUCGGGGUUCCCAUUCACACUCAAGAAGCAGAUCUAAGGAUAAGUAUGAGAAGUCACUAGGUAGGUCACCUUCUCUGUUCCCCAAAGAAAAUGGAAAGGGAUCCAUAAAUUCAAAGUCCGGAUCCCGGAGACUGUCUUGAUCCCGUUUGCCUCUGCCUGCUCCACCCUCAAAGAUUUGUUCUGUAUCCCCUCUACCAAAGAACGUCAAGGUCCACUUCUAGAACUCACUCAAGGUCCAGAUCAAGUUCCAGAGAUUAA